rnacentral:rRNA from 1 species
CAUCGCCUGAAGCAACAAUUCCAGGUCCCGCCUGCCCAAUGAAAUUUUAAUGGCCGCAGUAUCCUGACUGUGCAAAGGUAGCAUAAUCAUUUGUCUCCUAAUUAGAGGCUGGCAUGAAUGGCGCCACGGGGCGGGAGCUACCCCUUAACUAACCGCCUAACUUAAUCUGUAAGUCAAAAAGCUUACAUCACCCCGCAGGACGAGAAGACCCCAUAGAGCUUAAUUGUUCACCGCGCUGCUCGCGUAGCCGACUCACUGCAGCGACGGGCCACAAUUUAGUUGGGGCGACUUGAAGCUAACUAACGCUUCAUACCCAAACCUGCAUGAUUGGACCUUUGACCCGGCAGCCGACUAUAAGAUCAAGCUACCUUGGGGAUAACAGCGUAAUCUAAUUUUAGAGCCCUCAUCAAAACUUAGGAUUGCGACCUCGAUGUUGGAUUAAGAUUCAGACCAGGUGUAGCCGCUUGAGUUUGGGGUCUGUUCGACCUUUAAAAUCUUACAUGAUCU